AGUGAACGCUGGCGGUAGGCCUAACACAUGCAAGUCGAACGGCAGCACAGUAAGAGCUUGCUCUUACGGGUGGCGAGUGGCGGACGGGUGAGGAAUACAUCGGAAUCUACUUUUUCGUGGGGGAUAACGUAGGGAAACUUACGCUAAUACCGCAUACGACCUACGGGUGAAAGCAGGGGAUCUUCGGACCUUGCGCGAAUGAAUGAGCCGAUGUCGGAUUAGCUAGUUGGCGGGGUUAAGGCCCACCAAGGCGACGAUCCGUAGCUGGUCUGAGAGGAUGAUAAGCCACACUGGAACUGAGACACGGUCCAGACUCCUACGGGAGGCAGCAGUGGGGAAUAUGGGACAAUGGGCGCAAGCCUGAUCCAGCCAUACCGCGUGGGUGAAGAAGGCCUUCGGGUUGUAAAGCCCUUUUGUUGGGAAAGAAAAGCAGCAGGUUAAUACCCCGCUGUUCUGACGGUACCCAAAGAAUAAGCACCGGCUAACUUCGUG
rnacentral:rRNA from 1 species